AUCAUCGAAGAACUGCUAGACGAGUUGCACGACGCUCAAUGGUUCUUGAAGCUGGAUCUCCGUGUUGGGUACCACCAAAUCAGGUUGGCCGAAGGGGAAGAGUACAAGACAGCUUUUCAGACUCAUUCUGGGCAUUUCGAAUUCCUAGUGGUCUCAUUUAGCCUCGCAGGCGGUCCAACCACCUUCAAUGGGGCAAUUCAUUUCACCCUGAAGCCUCUCCUGCGACACUGUGUGCUCCUGUUCUUUGAUGACAUACUAGUUUUCAGUCGGACACUGAAAGAUCAUCUGAACCAUUUGCGCCAAACUUUGGAGUUGCUUCAGCGAGACCACCGGAAAGUCAAGAUGAGUAAGUGCUCGUUUGGUCAG
rnacentral:rRNA from 1 species